UACAGAGGGUGCAAGCGUUGUUCGGAAUUAUUGGGCGUAAAGGGCUCGUAGGCGGUUUGUCACGUCGGGAGUGAAAACUCGGGGCUUAACCCCGAGCCUGCUUCCGAUACGGGCAGACUAGAGGUAUGCAGGGGAGAACGGAAUUCCUGGUGUAGCGGUGAAAUGCGCAGAUAUCAGGAGGAACACCGGUGGCGAAGGCGGUUCUCUGGGCAUUACCUGACGCUGAGGAGCGAAAGUGUGGGGAGCGAACAGG
rnacentral:rRNA from 1 species